UUUCUGCUCCUGUCACCAUGGCCCCGGCCUGGGCGCUCAAGCGACCCUCUCGCUCCGCCCAGACCCCUGGAUGCCCAGCUGCCGCACCUCCCGUGGCCUCACGCUGUGGCUACGUGUUGUCUGAAGACGCCUGGGGAAACCUUCAGGGCCUCUGUACUGGCCUGUCAUGUGGUCAACCAGUGUGAACAUCAAGGUGUCUGGGUUCAUGGAACCUGGUGAAGAAACCACCUACAACUAUACCAUGUCCUGUCCCUAUUUCACAUGGGCCUCAAGGGAGAUUCUCUGAAGGGAACUACAUGGAGAUCUCAAACUUGAUUGCACAGUCAACCCAGCUCCUGUCUGUCAGGCUCAGGAACCACUUACAAGCUAUGGCAGGUGAUGUUCCAGCAUCCCACAGGGAGGAAGAUUAUGCUGGUGAGCCACGUGGCCAAGCAGGACUAUGGCUUCAACAGCUCUGGGGCCUGCAUGUUCCUGCAUUAGCCCUACUCCAGCAAUGAGGCUGAAGUCACCAGAGUGACAUCAUGGUAUCUGUGGUGCAAGCUAUAGCAUCCACCUAUUCUUGGAGCACACAUGGUCAGACACUGAUUGGCAUGUGACCAAGUUGAUGGUGGUCAAAACAGAACUCCUUUCAUGCCCACAAGCUUCAGUAUUACUGUGUUCCCUGCCACUUCUGUUGAAGUUAUGCAGGCUUGGGAUGAUCCUUUGGUGUGAACGAAGCCCCAGAGAGGACCACGUGGAGAGUGCCUGACUGUUCCUGUGAUGUCUUCUAGUAUAUGAACAGGAAUGAAACCCACUAUGUCCUCCACGUGAACUAUACGCUGAGCAUGGGUCCAGAUGGGAAACCAUUCUCCUACCCUGCAGAAAUGGAACAUAGUUUCGAGGAUGUUGGUAAGUACACCAAGUGAGGUGUGCUGGUCCUGGACUCAUGGAUGGUCUUGGUGCCCAACAAGUUGCACUGGCUCUGUCCAAACAAUGGCUGUGGAAGCCCCUCCCAUGGUGGGGGGGCUCCUACUGGGGCUACACAGAAGUAACUCCUCACAAGUGGCUUGUCUGCAUGCUGGAUUGGAAGCCCAGCAUAGAAGCAGCUGUUGGCAGACACAUGAAGUAAUAUAGAGAAUGGGUGGCUGCUCAUACAAUCAGCAGUAAGACUUCACUUAAAUCAUGCCAGGAAUGACAUGAACAGGACUCAAGGUGCCCCAUACAGUCUUCCCUCCCAGGUGCCACCACCCCUGAAAUGUUAACCUUGGUAGACUUCUCAUGUCAGGGUCAUGGUAAGGGUAGCCAGUGGUAUCAAGACCUUGGUAUAAAUCAGACAUGGCCUUCUUCCCAGCAAGGUCAUUAGGUACCCAACGUAGAGAUAGCAGGGAAAGGAUAUAAGAACAGGGAAGUUCCAGAUGAGUCAUCUUUUGCCUAUGACUAGGCCUGCCUAUAGGUUUUACAGCUCCAGGAAGUAAGAAAACAGGUGUAUUGUCUUCCUUCCUAUAGCUCUGCUAGGUGUCAUCCUCUUAAGGUCACUAGGAUUCUAGUGUUGAAGGCUUGCUGCCACACAGAUGGCAUUGUUCUAUCCUCAAAGCACUUUCAGGGUGCCAUCUAAUGGGUCUGAAUCCUGGUUCCACUGCGAACUUUAAGCAAGGAACUUAGCAUUAUCCAAUCC
rnacentral:lncRNA from 1 species